rnacentral:rRNA from 1 species
CUACGGGAGGCAGCAGUGGGGAAUAUUGGACAAUGGGGGAACCCUGAUGCAGCAACGCCGCGUGGAGGAUGACGCAUUUCGGUGUGUAAACUCCUUUUAUAUGUCAAGAAAAUGACGGUAGCACAUGAAUAAGCACCGGCUAACUCCGUGCCAGCAGCCGCGGUAAUACGGAGGGUGCAAGCGUUACUCGGAAUCACUGGGCGUAAAGGACGCGUAGGCGGGUUGGAAAGUCAGGUGUGAAAUCCUACAGCUUAACUGUAGAACUGCACUUGAAACUUCUAAUCUAGAGUAUGGGAGGGGGAGAUGGAAUUAGUGGUGUAGGGGUAAAAUCCGUAGAUAUCACUAGGAAUACCUAAAGCGAAGGCGAUCUCCUGGAACAUUACUGACGCUAAGGCGUGAAAGCGUGGGGAGCAAACAGGAUUAGAUACCCCGGUAGUC